rnacentral:rRNA from 1 species
UCGAGAAUCUUCCGCAAUGGACGAAAGUCUGACGGAGCGACGCCGCGUGGUGGAUGAAGUCCCUCGGGACGUAAACACCUUUUAUGAGGGAGAAAGUUUAUUGAUGUUACCUCAUGAAUAAGGGGCUCCCAACUCUGUGCCAGCAGGAGCGGUAAUACAGAGGCCCCAAGCAUUAUCCGGAUUUACUGGGCGUAAAGGGUGCGUAGGCGGUUAUAUUAGUCAGGUGUUAAAUCCUGGGGCUCAACCCCAGAACUGCAUUUGAAACGGUAUAACUAGAAUGAGUCAGAGGCAAGCAGAACUCACGGUGUAGGGGUGAAAUCCGUUGAUAUCGUGGGGAAUACCAAAUGCGAAGGCAGCUUGCUGGGACUUUAUUGACGCUGAGGCACGAAAGCGUGGGUAGCGAAUC